rnacentral:rRNA from 1 species
GAGUCUAGCAUGUGCGCGAGUCAUUGGGAUAGCACUAAACCUAAAGGCGUAAUGAAAGUGAAGGUCCGCCUCGCGCGGACCUAGGGAGGAUGGGUCUGUUCUAGAGCAGGCCCCGCACUCCCGGGGCGUCUCGUUCUCAUCGCGAGAAGAGGCGCACCCAGAGCGUACACGCUGGGACCCGAAAGAUGGUGAACUAUGCCUGGUCAGGACGAAGUCAGGGGAAACCCUGAUGGAGGUCCGUAGCGAUUCUGACGUGCAAAUCGAUCGUCGGAACUGGGUAUAGGGGCGAAAGACUAAUCGAACCAUCUAGUAGCUGGUUCCCUCCGAAGUUUCCCUCAGGAUAGCUGGCGCUCGCCGUGAGCGAGUCUCAUUCGGUAAAGCGAAUGAUUAGAGGCAUUGGGGUCGAAACGGCCUCAACCUAUUCUCAAACUUUAAAUGGGUGAGAUCUCCGGCUUGCUUGAAUUGUGAAGCCGCGAGAUUACGGAUCAGAGUGCCAAGUGGGCCACUUUUGGUAAGCAGAACUGGCGCUGUGGGAUGAACCAAACGCCGAGUUAAAGCGCCAAAAUCGACGCUUAUGGGAUACCAUGAAAGGCGUUGGUAACUUAAGACAGCAGGACGGUGGCCAUGGAAGUCGGA